rnacentral:misc_RNA from 1 species
GAUGAAGAACGCAGUGAAAUGCGAUAAGUAGUGUGAAUUGCAGAAUUCAGUGAAUCAUCGAAUCUUUGAACGCACAUUGCGCCCCUUGGUAUCCCGAGGGGCAUGCCUGUUCGAGCGUCAUUUCACCACUCAAGCCUGGCUUGGUGUUGGGCGACGUCCCCUUUGGGGACGCGCCUCGAAACGCUCGGCGGCGUGGCACCGGCUUUAAGCGUAGCAGAAUCUUUCGCUUUGGAAGUCGGGGCCCCGUCUGCCGGAAGACCUGCUCGCAAGGUUGACCUCGGAUCAGGCAGGGAUACCCGCUGAACUUAAGCAUAUCAAUAAGCGGAGGA